GUCCCUUUGCAGUGGCAGCCUCGGCA
rnacentral:piRNA from 1 species